GUCGAGCGAGCAGAACCAGCAGAUUUACUUCGGUAAUGACGCUGGGGACGCGAGCGGCGGAUGGGUGAGUAACACGUGGGGAACCUGCCCCAUAGUCUGGGAUACCACUUGGAAACAGGUGCUAAUACCGGAUAAGAAAGCAGAUCGCAUGAUCAGCUUAUAAAAGGCGGCGUAAGCUGUCGCUAUGGGAUGGCCCCGCGGUGCAUUAGCUAGUUGGUAAGGUAACGGCUUACCAAGGCAAUGAUGCAUAGCCGAGUUGAGAGACUGAUCGGCCACAUUGGGACUGAGACACGGCCCAAACUCCUACGGGAGGCAGCAGUAGGGAAUCUUCCACAAUGGACGCAAGUCUGAUGGAGCAACGCCGCGUGAGUGAAGAAGGUUUUCGGAUCGUAAAGCUCUGUUGUUGGUGAAGAAGGAUAGAGGUAGUAACUGGCCUUUAUUUGACGGUAAUCAACCAGAAAGUCACGGCUAACUACGUGCCAGCAGCCGCGGUAAUACGUAGGUGGCAAGCGUUGUCCGGAUUUAUUGGGCGUAAAGCGAGCGCAGGCGGAAGAAUAAGUCUGAUGUGAAAGCCCUCGGCUUAACCGAGGAACUGCAUCGGAAACUGUUUUUCUUGAGUGCAGAAGAGGAGAGUGGAAUUCCAUGUGUAGCGGUGGAA
rnacentral:rRNA from 1 species